rnacentral:rRNA from 1 species
UACCAGCACCCCGAGUGGUCGGGACGACUAUUGGGCCUAAAGCAUCCGUAGCCGGUUUUACAAGUCCUCCGUUAAAUCCAGCUGCUUAACAGAUGGGCUGCGGAGGAUACUAUAAGACUAGGAGGCAGGAGAGGCAAGCGGUACUCAGUGGGUAGGGGUAAAAUCCGUUGAUCCAUUGAAGACCACCAGUGGCGAAGGCGGCUUGCCAGAAUGCGCUCGACGGUGAGGGAUGAAAGCUGGGGGAGCAAACCGG